rnacentral:rRNA from 1 species
UACGUAGGGCGCAAGCGUUGUCCGGAAUUAUUGGGCGUAAAGAGCUCGUAGGCGGCUUGUCACGUCGGUUGUGAAAGCCCGGGGCUUAACCCCGGGUCUGCAGUCGAUACGGGCAGGCUAGAGUGUGGUAGGGGAGAUCGGAAUUCCUGGUGUAGCGGUGAAAUGCGCAGAUAUCAGGAGGAACACCGGUGGCGAAGGCGGAUCUCUGGGCCAUUACUGACGUGAGGAGCGAAAGCGUGGGGGAGCGAACAGG